UCUCGCGGCAUUCCGAGUCCGGCGGACGAAGUUGGCUAGCCCCACCCCCCAAGGCUAUAGCCCACCCGUUUUUGUUGCCUUUGUCCGCUGAACGAACUUGGCGCCCCGGCCUUCGGGGGGUUAUUUUUGGGCGCGACUUUGCCCGCGGCCUACUUUUGCCACACGGAGGCCCCUCGCAAAGUCUCGCGGCAUUCCAAGCCCGGCGGACGAAGUUGGCCAGCCCCACCCCCCCAGGCUAUAGCGCACCCGUUUUUGUGGCCUUUUUCCGCUGGACGAACUUGGCGCCCCGGCCUUCGGGCAGUUAUUUUUUGGCGCGGCUUUGCCCGCGGCCUACCAUUGGCACACAGAGGCCCCUCGCAAAGUCUCACGGCAUUCCGAGUCCGGCGGACGAAGUCGGCCUAACUCACCCCCCAAGGCUAUAGCCCACCCUUUUUUGUGGCCUUUUUCCGUUGGACGAACUUGGCGUCCCGGCCUUUGGGCGGUUAUUUUUGGGUACGGCUUUGUCCGCGGCCUAUUUUUGGCACACGGAGGCCCCUCGCAAAGUCUCGCGGCAUUCCGAGUCCGGCGGACGAAGUUGGCCAGCCCCACCCCCCAUGGCUAUAUCCCACCCGUUUUUGUGGCCUUUUUCCGCUGGACGAACUUGGCGCCCCGGCCUUCGGGCAGUUAUUUUUUGGCGCGACUUUGCCCGCGGCCUACUUUUGGCACACGGAGGCCCCUCGCAAAGUCUCGCGGCAUUCCGAGUCCGGCGGACGAAGUGGGCCAGCCCCACCCCCCAAGGCUAUAGCCAACCCGUUUUUGUGGCCGUUUUCCGCUGGACGAACUUGGCGCCCCGCCCUUCGGUGGAUAUUUUUGGGCGCGGCUUUGUCCGCGGCCUAUUAUUGGCUCAAGGAGGCCCCUCGCAAAGUCUCGCGGCAUUCCGAGUCCGGCGGACGAAAUUGGCCAGCCCCACCCCCCAAGGCUAUAGCCCACCCGUUUUUGUGGCCUUUUUCCGCUAGACGAACAUGGCGCCCCGGCCGUCAGGCGGUUAUUUUUUUGGCCCCGCUUUGCCCGCGGCCUAUUUUUGGGACACGGAAGACCCCCCCAAAAUCNNNNNNNNNNNNNNNNNNNNNNNNNNNNNNNNNNNNNNNNNNNNNNNNNNNNNNNNNNNNNNNNNNNNNNNNNNNNNNNNNNNNNNNNNNNNNNNNNNNNNNNNNNNNNNNNNNNNNNNNNNNNNNNNNNNNNNNNNNNNNNNNNNNNNNNNNNNNNCACAUGGAGGGCCCUCGCAAAGUCUCGCGGCAUUCCGAGUCCGGCGGACGAAGUUGGCCAGCCCCAACCCCCAAGGCUAUAGCCCACCCUUUUUUGUGGCCUUUUUCCGCUGGACGAACUUGGCGCCCCGGCCUUCGGGCGGUUAUUUUUGGGCGCGGCUUUGUCCGCGGCCUAUUUUUGGCACACGGAGGCCCCUCGCAAAGUCUCGCGGCAUUCCGAGUCCGGCGGACGAAGUUGGCCAGCCCCACCCCCCAAGGCUAUAGCCCACCCAUUUUUGUGGCCUUUUUCCGCUGGACGAACUUGGCGCCCCGGCCUUCGGGCAGUUAUUUUUUUGCGCGGCUUUGCCCCCGGCCUACUUCAGGCACACAGAGGCCCCUCGCAAAGUCUCGCGGCAUUCCGAGUCCGGCGGCCGAAGUCGGCCGGCCCCACCCCCCAAGGCUAUAGCCCACCCGUUUUUGUGGCCUUUUUCCGCUGGACGAACUUGGCGUCCCGGCCUUCGGGCGGUUAUUUUAGGGUGCGGCUUUGCCCGUGACCUAUUUUUGGCACACGGAGGCCCCUCGCAAAGUCUCGCGGCAUUCCGAGUCCGGCGGACGAAGUUGGCCAGCCCCACCCCCCAACGCUGUAACCCACCCGUUUUUGUGGACUUUUUCCGCUGGACGAACUUGGCGCCCCGGCCUUCGGGGGGUUAUUUUUUGGCGCGGCUUUACCCGCGGCCUACUUUAGGCACACGGAGGCCCCUCGCAAAGUCUCGCGGCAUUCCGAGUCUGGCGGACGAAGUCGGCCAGCCCCACCCCCCAAGGCUAUAGCCCACCCGUUUUUGUGGCCUUUUUCCGCUGGACGAACUUUGCGCCGCGGCCUUCGGGCGGUUAUUUUUGGGCGCGGCGUUGCCCGCGGCCUAUUUUUGGCACACGGAGGCCCCUCGCAAUGUCUCGCGGCAUUCCGAGUCCGGCGGACGAAGUUGGCCAGCCCCACCCCCCAACGCUGUAACCCACCCGUUUUUGUGGACUUUUUCCGCUGGACGAACUUGGCGCCCCGGCCUUCGGGGAGUUAUUUUUGGGUGCGGCUUUGGCUGCGGCCUAUUUUUGGCACACAGAGGCCCCUCGCAAAGUCUCGCGGCAUUCCGAGUCCAGCGGACGAAGUGGGCCAGCCCCACCCCCCAAGGUUAUAGCCCACCCGUUUUUGUGGCCUUUUUCCGCUGGACGAACUUGGCGCCCAGGCCUUCGGGCGGUUAUUUUUGGCCGCGGCCUGAUUUUGGCACACGGAGGCCCAUCGGAAAGUCUCGUGGCAUCCCAAGACCGGCGGACGAAGUUGGCCAGCCCCACCCCCCAAGGCUAUAGCCCACCCGUUUUUGUGGUCUUUUUCCGCUGGACGAACUUGGCGCCCUGGCCUUCAGGCAGUUAUUUUUUGGCGCGGCUUUGCCCGCGGCCUACUUUUGGCUCACGGAGGCCCCUCGCAAAGUUUCGCGGCAUUCCGAGUCCGGCGGACGAAGUCGGCCAGCCCCACCCCCCAAGGCUAUAGCCCACCCGUUUUUGUAGCCUUUUUCCGCUGGACGAACUUGGUGCCCCGGCCUUCGGGCAGUUAUUUUUGAGCACGGCGUUGCCCGUGGCCUACCUUUGGCACACAAAUGCCCCUCGCAAAGUCUCACGGCAUUCCGAGUCCGGCGGACGAAGUCGGCCUGCCCCACCCCCCAAGGCUAUAGCCCACCCGUUUUUGUGGCCUUUUUCCGCUGGACGAACUUGGCGUCCCGGCCUUCGGGUGGUUAUUUUUAGGCCCGGCUUUGCCCGCGGCCUAUUUUUGGCACACGGAGGCCCCUCGCAAAGUCUCGCGGCAUUGCGAGUCCGGCGGACGAAGUCGGCCAGCCCCAUCCCCCAAGGCUAUAGCCCACCCGUUUUUGUGGCCUUUUUCCGCUGGACGAACUUGGUGCCCCGGCCUUCGGGCAGUUAUUUUUGGGCGCGGCUUUGCCCGCGGCCUACCUUUGGCACACAGAGGCCCCUCGCAAAGUCUCACGGCAUUCCGAGUCCGGCGGACGAAGUCGGCCUGCCCCACCCCCCAAGGCUAUAGCCCACCCAUUUUUGUAGCCUUUUUCCGCUGGACGAACUUGGCGUCCCGGCCUUCGGGCGGUUAUUUUUGGGCGCGGCUUUGUCCGUGUCCUAUUUUUGGCACACGGAGGCCCCUCGCAAAGUCUCACGGCAUUCCAAGCCCGGCAGACGAAGUUGGCCAGCCCCACCCCCCAAGGCUAUAGCUAGGGAUGGCAAAAUCCGGGUCCGGGUCCGGGUUUAACGUUUCCGGUUCCGGACCCGGAUGACAAUUUAUGCUCCCGGAUCCGGAUAUAAACCCGGAUUAUUUCACUCCGGGUCCGGUCCGGGUUCAACCCGGAAAAAUCCGGGUUUCCGGAUUGCGGGUUUCAAACCCGGUAGUUGGAUGAAGAUAGAUUUACAGAAGCAAAAAACAAUAGGAUGAAUUCAUGGGAUCACAACCAAUUUUGCUUACUUCAAUAAUAAAAUUUACAAUUAUAUGGAUAUUAUGUGCUAAGAUGCUGCGUUUGGCUAUUAACAACAAGAAAAAAAAUUAAUAAUUACCGAAGUUAAGCAAAAGCAAAAAAUUAAAAGAGAAAUACAGAGAAACGAAAGAAAAUUUCAGGUCGCAGCUAAGGCGGUGAUGGGCCAAUGAAAAAUAUGAUUGCCGGCGAGAAGGGGUUAGCAACUAGCAGCAAAGCUUGCUCUUUGGAGAGAGAUGAGACCGAAUUUGACGAUGGUGGAGCUGGGUUUUUGAUAAUAAUGGAUGAUGAAUUGAGAUGAUUUAAUUGAUGAUGUAUUGAUGAACUUGGUCGUUGGGGAUGAAGAAGACGAAGAUUGAGGUGGCAGUCGCUAGGGAUGAGGGAGAUGAGGUUUGAGGUGGCCGCUGGGGAUGAGUGAGAUGAAGAUGGAGAUGAAGAUUGAGAGAUGAACUGAUAAAGAUUGAGGGAUUGUUUUGUUUUGCUUAUGUUCCCCCCUCCCCUCAACAAGGUGGCGGCUGGUGCAAUUGUUUUGUUUUGCUUUAGGGUUUUACGGGUUUUUCUUGUUUGCUUUUAUUUUUUUUUUCUUGCCCAAUUUAUUGUUUAAUGCUUAUAUAUUUUUUAGUUAGUAAUAAAAAUUAAUAAAUAAAUAAAUGGUAGUCCGGGUCCGGGUUCCGGAGAUCCGGGUUCACCUAAACCCGGACCCGACCCGGAAUAUAUCCGGGUUUGAAAAAUUACAACCCGGAUCCGCAUUAUUAAUGCAUCCGGUGCGGGUUGAACCCGUACCGGAUAAUCCGGGUUUAUCCGGGUCCGGGCCGGGUCCGGAAAAAUUUGCCAUCCCUAGCUAUAGCCCACCCGUUUUUGUGGCCUUUUUCCGCUGGACGAACUUGGCGCCCCGGCCUUCGGGCAGUUAUUUUUUGGCGUGGCUUUGCCCGCGGCCUACCUUUGGCACACAGAGGCCCCUCGCAAAGUCUCAUGGCAUUCCGAGUCCGGCGGACGAAGUCGGCCUGCCCCACGCCCCAAGGCUAUAGCCCACCCGUUUUUGUGGCCUUUUUCCGCUGGACGAACUUGGCGUCCCGGCCUUCGGGCGGUUAUUUUUGGGCGCGGCUUUGCCCGCGGCCUAUUUUUGGCACACGGAGGCCCCUCGCAAAGUCUCGCGGCAUUCCGAGUCCGGCGGACGAAGUUGGCCAGCCCCACCCCCCAAGGCUAUAGCCCACCCGUUUUUGUGGCCUUUUUCCGCUGGACGAACUUGGCGUCCCGGCCUUCGGGCGGUUAUUUUUGGGCGCGGCUUUGCCCGCGGCCUAUUUUUGGCACACGGAGGCCCCUCGCAAAGUCUCGCGGCAUUCCGAGUCCGGCGGACGAAGUUGGCCAGCCCUACCCCCCAAGGCUAUAGCCCACCCGUUUUUGUGGCCUUUUUCCGCUGGACGAACUUGGCGCCCCGGCCUUUAGGCAGUUAUUUUUUGGCACGGCUUUGCCCGCGGCCUAAUUUAGGCCCACGAAGGCCCCUCGCAAAGUCUCGCGGCAUUCCGAGUCCGGCGGACGAAGUCGGCCAGCCCCACCCCCAAAGGCUAUAGCCCACCCGUUUUUGUGGCCUUUUUCCGCUGGACGAACUUGGCGCCCCGGCCUUCGGGCAGUUAUUUUUGGGUGCGGCAUUGCCCGUGGCCUACCUUUGGCACACAGAGGCCCCUCGCAAAGUCUCUGCCAUUCCGAGUCCGGCGGACGAAGUCGGCCUGCCCCACCCCCCAAGGCUAUAGCCCACCCGUUUUUGUGGCCUUUUUCCGCUGGACGAACUUGGCGUCCCGGCCUUCGGGCGGUUAUUUUUAGGCGCGGCUUUGCCCGCGGCCUAUUUUUGGCACACGGAGGCCCCUCGCAAAGUCUCGCGGCAUUGUGACUCCGGUGGACGAAGUCGGCCAGCCCCACCCCCCAAGGCUAUAGCCCACCCGUUUUUGUGGCCUUUUUCCGCUGGACGAACUUGGUGCCCCGGCUUUCGGGCAGUUAUUUUUGGGCGCGGCUUUGUCCACGGCCUACCUUUGGCACACAGAGGCCCCUCGCAAAGUCUCACGGCAUUCCGAGUCCGGCGGACAAAGUCGGCCUGCCCCACCCCCCAAGGCUAUAGCCCACCCGUUUUUGUGGCCUUUUUCCGCUGGACGAACUUGGCGUCCCGGCCUUCGGGCGGUUAUUUUUUGGCGCGGCUUUGCCCGCGGCCUAUUUUUGGCACACAGAGGCCCCUCGCAAACUCUCGCGGCAUUCCAAGCCCGGCGGACGAAGUUGGCCAGCCCCACCCCCCAAGGCUAUAGCCCACCCGUUUUUUGUGGCCUUUUUCCGCUGGACGAACUUGGCGCCCCGGCCUUUGGGCAGUUAUUUUUUGGUGCGGCUUUGCCCGUGGCCUACCUUUGGCACACAGAGGCCCCUCGCAAAGUCUCACGGCAUUCCGAGUCCGGCGGACGAAGUCGGCCUGCCCCACCCCCCAAGGCUAUAGCCCACCCGUUUUUGUGGCCNNNNNNNNNNNNNNNNNNNNNNNNNNNNNNNNNNNNNNNNNNNNNNNNNNNNNNNNNNNNNNNNNNNNNNNNNNNNNNNNNNNNNNNNNNNNNNNNNNNNNNNNNNNNNNNNNNNNNNNNNNNNNNNNNNNNNNNNNNNNNNNNNNNNNNNNNNNNNNNNNNNNNNNNNNNNNNNNNNNNNNNNNNNNNNCUGGACGAACUUGGCGCCCCGGCCUUCGGGCAGUUUUUUUUGGGCAUGGCUUUGCCCGCGGCCUACUUUUGGCACACAGAGGCCCCUCACAAAGUCUCACGGCAUUCCGAGUCCGGCGGACGAAGUCGGCCUGCCCCACCCCCCAAGGCUAUAGCCCACCCGUUUUUGUGGCCUUUUUCCGCUGGACGAACUUGGCGUCCCGGCCUUCGGGCGGUUAUUUUUGGGCGCGGCUUUGCCCGCGGCCUAUUUUUGGCACACGGAGGCCCCUCACAAAGUCUCGCGGCAUUACGAGUCCGGCGGACGAAGUUGGCCAGCCCCACCCCCCAAGGCUAUAGCCCACCCGUUUUUGUGGCCUUUUUCCGCUGGACGAACUUGGCGCCCCGGCCUCCGAGCGGUUAAUUUUGGGUGCGGCUUUGCCCGUGGCCUAUUUUUGGCACACGGAGGAUCCUUGCAAAGUCUCGCGGCAUUCCAAGUCCGGCGGACGAAGUUGGCCAGCCCCACCCCCCAAGGCUAUAGCCCACCCAUUUUUGUGGCCUUUUUCCGCUGGACGAACUUCGCGCCCCGGCCUUCGGGCGGUUAUUUUUGGGCGCGGCUUUGUCCGCGGCCUAUUUUUGGCACACGGAGGCCCCUCGCAAAGUCUCGCGGCAUUCCGAGUCCAGCGGACGAAGUUGGCCAGCCCCACCCCCCAAGGCUAUAGCCCACCCUUNNNNNNNNNNNNNNNNNNNNNNNNNNNNNNNNNNNNNNNNNNNNNNNNNNNNNNNNNNNNNNNNNNNNNNNNNNNNNNNNNNNNNNNNNNNNNNNNNNNNNNNNNNNNNNNNNNNNNNNNNNNNNNNNNNNNNNNNNNNNNNNNNNNNNNNNNNNNNNNNNNNNNNNNNNNNNNNNNNNNNNNNNNNNNNNNNNNNNNNNNNNNNNNNNNNNNNNNNNNNGCCUUCAGGCGGUUAUUUUUUAGGCCCGGCUUUGUCCGCGGCCUAUUUUUGGCACACGGAGGCCCCUCGAAAAGUCUCGCGGCAUUCCGAGUCCGGCGGACGAAGUUGGCCAGCCCCACCCCCCAAGGCUAUAGCCCACCCGUUUUUGUGGCCUUUUUCCGCUGGACGAACUUGGCGCCCCGGCCUUCGGGCGGUUAUUUUUGGGCGCGGCUUUGCCCGCGGCCUAUUUUUGGCACACAGAGGCCCCUCGCAAAGUCUCGCGGCAUUCCGAGUCCGGCGGACGAAGUUGGCCAGCCCCACCCCCCAAGGCUAUAGCCCACCCGUUUUUGUGGCCUUUUUCCGCUGGACGAAUUUGGCGCCCCGGCCUUCGGGUGGUUAUUUUUGGACGCGGCUUUUCCCGCGGCCUAUUUUUGGCACACGGAGGUGCCUCCCGAAGUCUCGCGCCAUUCCGAGUCCGGCGGACGAAGUUGGCCAGCCCCACCCCCCAAGGCUAUAGCCCACCCAUUUUUGUGGCCUUUUUCCGCUGGACGAACUUGGCGCCCCGGGCUUCGGGCAUUUAUUUUUGGGCGCGGCUGUGUCCGCGGCCUAUUUUUGGCACACGGAGGUGCCUUGCGAAGUCUCGCGCCAUUCCGAGACCAGAGGGUGAAGUUGGCCAGCCCCACCCCCCAAGGCUGUAGCCCACCCGUUUUUGUGGCCUUUUUCCGCUGGACAAACUUGGCGCCCCAGCCUUCGGGCAGUGAUUUUUGGGCGCGGCUGUGCCCGAAGCCUAUUUUUGGCACACGGAGGCACCUCGUAAGGUCUCGCACCAUUCCGAGUCCGGCGGACGAAGUUGGCCUGCCCCACCCCCCAAGGCUAUAGCCCACCCGUUUUUAUGGCCUUUUUCCGCUGGACGAACUUGGCGCCCCAGCCUUCGGGCGGUUAUUUUUGGGUGCGGCUGUCUCCGCGGCCUAUUUUUGGCACACGGAGACCCCUCGCAAAGUCUCGCACCAUUCCGCGCCGGCGGACGAAGUUGGCCAGCCCCACCCCCCAAGGCUAUAGUCCACCCGUUUUUGUGGCCUUUUUCCGCUGGACGAACUUGGUGCCCCAGCCUUCGGCCGGUUAUUUUUGGGUGCAGCUUUGCCCGCGGCCUAUUUACUGCACACGGAGACCGCUCAUAAAGUCUCGUGGCAUUCCGAGUCCGGCGGACGAACUUGGCCAGCCCCACCCCCCAAGGCUAUAGCCCACCCGUUUUUGUGGCCUUUUUCCGCUGGACGAACUUGGCGCCGCGGCCUUCGGGCGGUGAUUUUUGGGCGCGGCUGUGCCCGAAGCCUAUUUUUGGCACACGGAGGUGCCUCGCAUAGUCUCGCGCCAUUCCGAGUCAUGCGGACGAAGUUGGCCAGCCUCACCCCCCAAGGCUAUAGCCCACCCCGUUUUGUGGCCUUUAUCCGCUGGACGAACUUGGCGCCCCGGCCUUCGGGCGGUUAUUUUUGGGCGUGGCUGUGUCCGCUGCCUAUUUUUGGCUCACGGAGGCCCCUCGCAAAGUCUCGCGCCAUUCCGAAGACAGCGGACGAAGUUGGCCAGCCCCACCCCCCAGGCUAUAGCCCACCCGUUUUUUGUGGCUUUUUCCGCUGGACGAACUUGGCACCCCAGCCUUCGGCCGGUUAUUUUUGGGCGUAGCUUUGCCCGCGGCCUAUUUACUGCACACGGAGACCGCUCAUAAAGUCUCGUGGCAUUACGAGUCCGGCGGACGAACUUGGCCAGCCCCACCCCCCAAGGCUAUAGCCCACCCGUUUUUGUGGCCUUUUUCCGAAGGACGAACUUGGCGCCCCGGCCUUCGGGCGGUGAUUUUUGGGCGCGGCUGUGCCCGAAGCCUAUUUUUGGCACACAGAGGUGCCUCACGAAUUCUCGCGCCAUUCCGAGUCAUGCGGACGAAGUUGGCCAGCCCCACCCCCCAAGCCUAUAGCCCACCCGUUUUUGUGGCCUUUUUCCGCUGGACGAACUUGGCGCCCCGGCCUACGAACGGUUAUUUUUGGGCGCGGCUGUGUCCGCAGCCUAUUUUUGGCACACGGAGGCCCCUCGCAAAGUCUCGCGGAAUUCCGAGUCCGACGGACGAAGUUGGCCAGCCCCACCCCCCAAGGCCAUAGCCCACCCAUUUUUGUGGCCUUUUUCCGCUGGACGAACUUGGCGCCCCGGGCUUCGGGCAGUUAUUUUUGGGCGCGGCUGUGCCAGUGGCAUAGUUUUGGCACACGGAGGCGCCUCACAAAGUCUCGCGCCAUUCCAAGUCCGGCGGACGAAGUUGGCCAGCCCCACCCCCCAAGGCUAUAGCCCACCCAUUUUUGUGGCCUUUUUCCGCUGGACGAACUUGGCGCCCCGGCCUUCGGGCGUUUAUUUUUGGGCGCGGCUGUGCCCGCGGCCUAAUUUUGGCACACGGAGGUGCCUCGCGAAGUCUCGCGCCAUUCCGAGUCCGGCGGACGAAGUUGGCCAGCCCCACCCCCCAAGGCUGUAGCCCACCCGUUUUUGUGGCCUUUUUCCACUGGACAAACUUGGCGCCCCCGCCUUCGGGCCGGAAUUUUUGGGCGCGGCUGUGCCGGAAGCCUAUUUUUGGCACACGGAGGCACCUCACAAAGUCUCGCACCAUUCCGAGUCCGGCGGACGAAGUUGGCCAGCCCCACCCCCCAAUGCUAUAGCCCACCCGUUUUUAUGGCCUUUUUCCGCUGGACGAACUUGGCGCCCCGGCCUUCAGGCGGUGAUUUUUGGGUGCGGCUGUGCCCGUAGCCUAUUUUUGGCACACAGAGGCACCUCGCAAAGUCUCGGGCCAUUCCGAGUCCGGCGGACGAAGUUCGCCAGCCCCGCCCCCCAAGGCUAUAGCCAACCGUUUUUGUGGGCUUUUUCCGCUGGACGAACAUGGCACCCCGGCCUUCGGGCGGUUAUUUUUGGCCGCGGCUGUGCCCGUGGCCUAUUUUUGGCACGCGGAGGUGCCUCGUAAAGUCUCGCGCCAUUCCGAGUCCGGCGGACGAAGUUGGCCAGCCCCACCCCCCAAGGCUAUAGCCCACCCGUUUUUGUGGCCUUUUUCCGCUGGACGAACUUGGCGCCCCGACCAUCAGGCAGUUAUUUUUGGGCACGGCUGUGUCCGCAGCCUAUUUUCUGCACACGGAGGCCCCUCGCAAAGUCUCGCGCCAUUCCGAGUCCGGCGGACGAAGUUGGCCAGCCCCACACCCCAAUGCUAUAGCCCACCCGUUUUUGUGGCCUUUUUCCGCUGGAUGAACUUGGCGCUCCAGCCUUCGGGCGGUUAUUUUUGGGCGUGGCUGUGCAUGUGGCCUAUUUUUGGCACACGGAGGUGCCUCGCAAAGUAUCGUGCCAAUCCGAGUCCGGCGGACGAAGUGGGUCAGCCCCACCCCCCAAGGCUAUAGCCAACCGUUUUUGUGGGCUUUUUCCGGUGGACGAACUUGGCGCCCCGGCCUUCGGGCGGUUAUUUUUGGGCGUUGCUGUGCCCGCGGCCUAUUUUUUGCAAUCGGAGGCACCUCGCAAAGUCUCGCGCCAUUCCGAGUCCGGCGGAUGAAGUUGGCCAGCCCCACCCCCCAAGGUUAUAGCCCACCCGUUUUUGGGGCAUUUUCCCGCUGGACGAACAUGGCGCCCCGGCCUUCGGGCGGUUAUUUUUGGGCGCGGCUGUGUCCGCGGCCUAUUUUUGGCACACAGAGGCGCCUCGCAAAGUCUCGCGCCAUUCCGAGUCCGGCGGACGAAGUUGUCCAGCCCCACCCCCCAAGGCUAUAGCCCACCCGUUUUUGUGGCCUUUUUCCGCUGGACGAACUUGGCGCCCCGGCCUUCGGGCGGUUAUUUUUGGGAGCGGCUGUGCCCGCAGCCUAUUUUUGGCACAUGGAGGCACCUNNNNNNNNNNNNNNNNNNNNNNNNNNNNNNNNNNNNNNNNNNNNNNNNNNNNNNNNNNNNNNNNNNNNNNNNNNNNNNNNNNNNNNNNNNNNNNNNNNNNNNNNNNNNNGCCCCGGCAAUUCGGGAGCUGGUAGAUUUUUGGGUGCGGCUGUGCCCGCAGUCUAUUUUUGGCACACGGAGGCACCUCGCAAAGUCUCGCGCCAUUCCGAGUCCGGCGGACGAAGUUCGCCAGCCCCACCCCCAAAGGUUAUAGCCCACCCGUUUUUGUGGCCUUUUUCCGCUGCACGAACUUGGCGCCCCGGCCUUCGGGCUGUUAUUUUUGGCCACGGCUGUGUCUGCGGCCUAUUUUUGCCACACGGAGGCACCUCGCAAAGUCUCGCGCCAUUCCGAGUCCGGCGGACGAAGUUCGCCAGCCCCACCCCCCAAUGCUAUAGCCCACCCGUUUUUGUGGCCUUUUUCCGCUGGACGAACUUGGCGCCCCGGCCUUCGGGCGGUGAUUUUUGGGUGCGGCUGUGCCCGCAGCCUAUUUUUGGCACACGGAGGCACCUCGCAAAGUCUCGCGCCAUUCCGAGUCCGGCUGACGAAGUUCGCCAGCCCCACCCCCCAAUGCUAUAGCCCAACCGUUUUUGUGGCCUUUUUCCGCUGCACGAACUUGGCGCCCCGGCCUUCGGGCGGUUAUUUUUGGGCGCGGCUGUGCCCGCAGCCUAUUUUUGGCACACGGAGGCACCUCGCAAAAUCUCGCGGCAUUCCGAGUCCGGCGGACGAAGUUGGCCAGCCCCACACCCCAAUGCUAUAGCCCACCCGCAGCCUAUUUCCUGCACACGGAAGCCCCUCGCAAAGUCUCGCGCCAUUCCGAGUCCAGCGGACGAAGUUGGCCAGCCCCACAUCCCAAUGCUAUAGCCCACCCGUUUUUGUGGCCUUUUUCCGCUGGACGAACUUGGCGCUCCAGCCUUCGGGCGGUUAUUUUUUGGGCAUGGCUGUGCAUGUGGCCUAUUUUUGGCACACGGAGGUGCCUCGCAAAGUAUCGCGCCAAUCCGAGUCCGGCGGACGAAGUUGGUCAGCCCCACCCCCAAAGGCUAUACCCAACCGUUUUUGUGGCCUUUUUCCGCUGCACGAACUUGGCGCCCCGGCCUUCGGGCCGUUAUUUUUGGCCACGGCUGUGUCAGCGGCCUAUUUUUGGCACACCGAGGCUAUAGCCCACCCCUCAAGGCUAUAGCCCACCCGUUUUUGUGGCCUUUUUCGGCUGGACGAACUUGGCGCCUCUGCCUUCGGGCUGUUAUUUUUGGGUGCGGCUGACCCCGCGGCCUAUUAUUGGCACACGGAGGCGCCUUACAAAGUCUCGCGCUAUUCCGAGUUCGGCGGACGAUGUUGGCCAGCCCCACCCAAGGCUAUAGCCCACCCGUGUUUGUGGCAUAUUUCCGCAGGACGUACUUGGCGCCCCGGCCUUCGGGCGGUUAUUUUUUGGCACGGCUGUGCCCGCGGCCUAUUUUUGGCACACGGAGGCGCCUCGCAAAGUCUCGUGCAAUUGCGAGUCCGGCGGACGAAGUUGGCCAGCCCCACCCCCCAAGGCUAUAGCCCACCCGUUUUUGUGGCCUUUUUCCGCUGGACGAACUUGGCGCUCCAGCCUUCGGGCGGUUAUUUUUUGGGCGUGGCUGUGCAUGUGGCCUAUUUUUGGCACACGGAGGUGCCUCGCAAAGUAUCGCGCCAAUCCGAGUCCGGCGGACGAAGUUGGUCAGCCCCACCCCCAAAGGCUAUAGCCAACCGUUUUUGUGGCCUUUUUCCGCUGCACGAACUUGGCGCCCCGGCCUUCGGGCCGUUAUUUUUGGCCACGGCUGUGUCAGCGGCCUAUUUUUGGCACACCGAGGCUAUAGCCCACCCCUCAAGGCUAUAGCCCACCCGUUUUUGUGGCCUUUUUCGGCUGGACGAACUUGGCGCCUCUGCCUUCGGGCUGUUAUUUUUGGGUGCGGCUGUGCCCGCGGCCUAUUAUUGGCACACGGAGGCGCCUUACAAAGUCUCGCGCUAUUCCGAGUUCGGCGGACGAUGUUGGCCAGCCCCACCCAAGGCUAUAGCCCACCUGUUUUUGUGGCAUAUUUCCGCAGGACGUACUUGGCGCCCCGGCCUUCGGGCGGUUAUUUUUUGGCACGGCUGUGCCCGCGGCCUAUUUUUGGCACACGGAGGCGCCUCGCAAAGUCUCGCGCCAUUCCGAGUCCGGCGGACGAAGUUGGCCAGCCCCACCCCACAAGGCUAUAGCCCACCCGUUUUUGUGGCCUUUUUCCGCUGGACGAACUUGGCGCUCCAGCCUUCGGGCGGUUAUUUUUGGGCGUGGCUGUGCAUGUGGCCUAUUUUUGGCACAUGGAGGUGCCUCGCAAAGUAUUGCGCCAAUCCGAGUCCGGCGGACGAAGUUGGUCAGCCCCACCCCCCAAGGCUAUAGCCAACCGUUUUUGUGGGCUUUUUCUGCUGGACAAACGUGGCGCCCCGGCCUUCGGGCGGUUAUUUUUGGGCGCGGCUGUGCCCGCAACCUAAAUUUGGCACACAGAGGCACCUCCCAAAGUCUCGCACCAUUCCGAGUCCGGCGGACGAAGUCGGCCAGCCCCACCCCCCAAGGCUAUACCCCACCCGUUUUUGUGCCCUUUUUCCGCUGCACGAACUUGGCGCCCCGGCCUUUGGGCCGUUAUUUUUGGCCACGGCUGUGGCCACGGCAUAUUUUUGGCACACGGAGGCACCUCGUAAAGUCUCGCGCCAUUCCGAGUCCGGCGGAUGAAGUUCGCCCGCCCCACCCCCGAAUGCUAUAGCCCACCCGUUUUUGUGGCCUUUUUCCGCUGGACGAACUUGGCGCCCCGGCCUUCGGGCCGUGAUUUUUGGGUGUGGCUGUGCCCGCAGCCUAUUUUUGGCACACGGAGGCACUUCGCAAAGUCUCGCGCCAUUCCGAGUCCGGCGGACGAAGUUCGUCAGCCCCACCCCCCAAUGCUAUAGCCCACCCGUUUUUGUGGCCUUUUUCCGCUGGACGAAUUUGGCGCCCCGGCCUUCGGGUGGUUAUUUUUGGACGCGGCUUUGCCCGUGGCCUAUUUUUGGCACACGGAGGCAACUCGCAAAGUCUCGCGGCAUUCCGAGUCCGGCGGACGAAGUUGGCCAGCCCCACCCCCCAAGGCUAUAGCCCACCCGUUUUUUUUGGCUUUUUCCGCUGGACGAACUUGGCGCCCCGGCCUUCGGGCAGUUAUUUUUGGGCGCGGCUGUGCCAGUGGCAUAGUUUUGGCACACGGAGGUGCCUCGAAAAGGCUCACGCCAUUGCGAGUCCGGCGGACGAAGUUGGCCAGCCCCACCCCCCAAGGCUAUAGCCCACCCAUUUUUGUGGCCUUUUUCCGCUGGACGAACUUGGUGCUCCGGCCUUCGGGCGUUUAUUUUUGGGCGCGGCUGUUCCCACGGCCUAUUUUUGGCACACGGAGGUGCCUCGCGAAGUCUCGCGCCAUUCCGAGUCCGGCGGACGAAGUUGGCCAGCCCCACCCCCCAAGGCUAUAGCCCACCCAUUUUUGUGGCCUUUUUCCGCUGGACGAACUUAGCGCCCCGGGCUUCGGGCAUUUAUUUUUGGGCGCGGCUGUGUCCGCGGCCUAUUUUUGGCACACGGAGGUGCCUCGCGAAGUCUCGCGCCAUUCCGAGACCAGAGGAUGAAGUUGGCCAGCCCCACCCCCCAAGGCUGUAGCCCACCCGUUUUUGUGGCCUUUUUCCGCUGGACAAACUUGGCGCCCCAGCCUUCGGGCAGUGAUUUUUGGGCGCGGCUGUGCCCGAAGCCUAUUUUUGGCACACGGAGGCCCCUCGCAAAGUCUCGCGCCAUUCCGAGUCCGGCGGACGAAGUUGGCCAGCCCCACCCCCCAAGGCUAUAGCCCACCCGUUUUUGUGGCCUUUUUCCGCUGGACGAACUUGGUGCCCCAGCCUUCGGCCGGUUAUUUUUGGGCGCAGCUUUGCCCGCGGCCUAUUUACUGCACACGGAGACCGCUCAUAAAGUCUCGUGGCAUUCCGAGUCCAGCGGACGAACUUGGCCAGCCCACCCCCCAAGGCUAUAGCCCACCCGUUGUUGUGGCCUUUUUCCGCUGGACGAACUUGGCUCCCCGGCCUUCGGGCGGUGAUUUUUGGGUGCGGCUGUGCCCAAAGCCUAUUUUUGGCACACGGAGGCGCCUCGCAAAGUCUCGCACCAUUCCGAGUCAUGCGGACGAAGUUGGCCAGCCCCACUCCCCAAGGCUAUAGCCCACCCGUUUUUGUGGCCUUUUUCCGCUGGACGAACGGGGCGCCCCGGCCUUCAGGCGGUUAUUUUUGGGCGCGGCUGUGUUCGCGGCCUAUUUUGGAACGCGGAGCCUCCUCGUAAAGUCUCGCGCCAUUCCGAGUCCGGCGGACGAAGUUGGCCAGCCCCACCCCCCAAGGCUAUAGCCCACCCGUUUUUGUGGCCUUUUUCCGCUGGACGAACUUGGUGCCCCAGCCUUCGGCCGGUUAUUUUUGGGCGCGGCUUUGCCCGCGGCCUAUUUACUGCACACGGAGACCGCUCAUAAAGUCUCGUGGCAUUCCGAGUCCAGCGGACGAACUUGGCCAGCCCACCCCCCAAGGCUAUAGCCCACCCGUUGUUGUGGCCUUUUUCCGCUGGACGAACUUGGCUCCCCGGCCUUCGGGCGGUGAUUUUUGGCCGCGGCUGUGUCCGAAGCCUAUUUUUGGCACACGGAGGCGCCUCGCAAAGUCUCGCACCAUUCCGAGUCAUGCGGACGAAGUUGGCCAGCCCCACCCCCCAAGGCUAUAGCCCACCCGUUUUUGUGGCCUUUUUCCGCUGGACGAACUUGGCGCCCCGACCAUCGGGCAGUUAUUUUUGGGCGCGGCUGUGCCCGCAGCCUAUUUUCUGCACACGGAGGCCCCUCGCAAAGUCUCGCGCCAUUCCGAGUCCGGCGGACGAAGUUGGCCAGCCCCACACCCCAAUGCUAUAGCCCACCCGUUUUUGUGGCCUUUUUCCGCUGGAUGAACUUGGCGCUCCAGCCUUCGGGCGGUUAUUUUUGGGCGUGGCUGUGCAUGUGGCCUAUUUUUGGCACACGGAGGUGCCUCGCAAAGUAUCGUGCCAAUCCGAGUCCGGCGGACGAAGUGGGUCAGCCCCACCCCCCAAGGCUAUAGCCAACCGUUUUUGUGGGCUUUCCGGUGGACGAACUUGGCGCCCCGGCCUUCGGGCGGUUAUUUUUGGGCGUUGCUGUGCCCGCGGCCUAUUUUUUGCAAUCGGAGGCACCUCGCAAAGUCUCGCGCCAUUCCGAGUCCGGCGGAUGAAGUUGGCCAGCCCCACCCCCCAAGGUUAUAGCCCACCCGUUUUUGGGGCAUUUUCCCGCUGGACGAACAUGGCGCCCCGGCCUUCGGGCGGUUAUUUUUGGGCGCGGCUGUGUCCGCGGCCUAUUUUUGGCACACAGAGGCGCCUCGCAAAGUCUCGCGCCAUUCCGAGUCCGGCGGACGAAGUUGGCCAGCCCCACCCCCCAAGGCUAUAGCCCACCCGUUUUUGUGGCCUUUUUUCGCUGGACGAACUUGGCGCCCCGGCCUACUUUUGGCAGACGGAGGCGCCUCGCAAAGUCUCGCGCCAUUCCAAGUCCAGCGGGCGAAGUUGGCUAGCCCCACACCCCAAUGCUAUAGCCCACCCGUUUUUGUGGCCUUUUUCCGCUGGACGAACUUGGCGCUCCAGCCUUCGGGCGGUUAUUUUUUGGGCGUGGCUGUGCAUGUGGCCUAUUUUUGGCACACGGAGGUGCCUCGCAAAGUAUCGCGCCAAUCCGAGUCCGGCGGACGAAGUUGGUCAGCCCCACCCCCAAAGGCUAUAGCCAACCGUUUUUGUGGCCUUUUUCCGCUGCACGAACUUGGCGCCCCGGCCUUCGGGCCGUUAUUUUUGGCCACGGCUGUGUCAGCGGCCUAUUUUUGGCACACCGAGGCUAUAGCCCACCCCUCAAGGCUAUAGCCCACCCGUUUUUGUGGCCUUUUUCGGCUGGACGAACUUGGCGCCUCUGCCUUCGGGCUGUUAUUUUUGGGUGCGGCUGUGCCCGCGGCCUAUUAUUGGCACACGGAGGCGCCUUACAAAGUCUCGCGCUAUUCCGAGUUCGGCGGACGAUGUUGGCCAGCCCCACCCAAGGCUAUAGCCCACCUGUUUUUGUGGCAUAUUUCCGCAGGACGUACUUGGCGCCCCGGCCUUCGGGCGGUUAUUUUUUGGCACGGCUGUGCCCGCGGCCUAUUUUUGGCACACGGAGGCGCCUCGCAAAGUCUCGCGCCAUUCCGAGUCCGGCGGACGAAGUUGGCCAGCCCCACCCCCCAAGGCUAUAGCCCACCCGUUUUUGUGGCCUUUUUCCGCUGGACGAACUUUGGCGCCCCGGCAUUCGGGCGGUUAUUUUUGGGCGCGGCUGUGCCCGUGGCCUAUUUUUGGCACACGGAGGCGCCUCGCAAAGUCUCGCGCCAUUCCGAGUCCGGCGGACGAAGUUGGCCAGCCCCACCCCCCAAGGCUAUAGCCCACCCGUUUUUGUGGCCUUUUUCCGCUGGACGAACUUGGCGCUCCAGCCUUCGGGCGGUUAUUUUUGGGCGUGGCUGUGCAUGUGGCCUAUUUUUGGCACAUGGAGGUGCCUCGCAAAGUAUUGCACCAAUCCGAGUCCGGCGGACGAAGUUGGUCAGCCCCACCCCCCAAGGCUAUAGCCAACCGUUUUUGUGGGCUUUUUCUGCUGGACGAACGUGGCGCCCCGGCCUUCGGGCGGUUAUUUUUGGGCGCGGCUGUGCCUGCAACCUAAAUUUGGCACACGGAGGCACCUCCCAAAGUCUCGCACCAUUCCGAGUCCGGCGGACGAAGUCGGCCAGCCCCACCCCCCAAGGCUAUACCCCACCCGUUUUUGUGCCCUUUUUCCGCUGCACGAACUUGGCGCCCCGGCCUUCGGGCCGUUAUUUUUGGCCACGGCUGUGGCCACGGCCUAUUUUUGGCACACGGAGGCACCUCGUAAAGUCUCGCGCCAUUCCGAGUCCGGCGGACGAAGUUCGCCAGCCCCACCCCCGAAUGCUAUAGCCCACCCGUUUUUGUGGCCUUUUUCCGCUGGACGAACUUGGCGCCCCGGCCUUCGGGCCGUGAUUUUUGGGUGUGGCUGUGCCCGCAGCCUAUUUUUGGCACACGGAGGCACUUCGCAAAGUCUCGCGCCAUUCCGAGUCCGGCGGACGAAGUUCGUCAGCCCCACCCCCCAAUGCUAUAGCCCACCCGUUUUUGUGGCCUUUUUCCGCUGGACGAAUUUGGCGCCCCGGCCUUCGGGUGGUUAUUUUUGGACGCGGCUUUGCCCGUGGCCUAUUUUUGGCACACGGAGGCAACUCGCAAAGUCUCGCGGCAUUCCAAGUCCGGCGGACGAAGUUGGCCAGCCCCACCCCCCAAGGACAUAGCCCACCCAUUUUUGUGGCCUUUUUCCGCUGGACGAACUUGGCGCCCCGGCCUUCGGGCAGUUAUUUUUGGGCGCGGCUGUGCCAGUGGCAUAGUUUUGGCACACGGAGGUGCCUCGAAAAGGCUCACGCCAUUGCGAGUCCGGCGGACGAAGUUGGCCAGCCCCACCCCCCAAGGCUAUAGCCCACCCAUUUUUGUGGCCUUUUUCCGCUGGACGAACUUGGUGCUCCGGCCUUCGGGCGUUUAUUUUUGGGCGCGGCUGUUCCCACGGCCUAUUUUUGGCACACGGAGGUGCCUCGCGAAGUCUCGCGCCAUUCCGAGUCCGGCGGACGAAGUUGGCCAGCCCCACCCCCCAAGGCUAUAGCCCACCCAUUUUUGUGGCCUUUUUCCGCUGGACGAACUUGGCGCCCCGGGCUUCGGGCAUUUAUUUUUGGGCGCGGCUGUGUCCGCGGCCUAUUUUUGGCACACGGAGGUGCCUCGCGAAGUCUCGCGCCAUUCCGAGACCAGAGGAUGAAGUUGGCCAGCCCCACCCCCCAAGGCUGUAGCCCACCCGUUUUUGUGGCCUUUUUCCGCUGGACAAACUUGGCGCCCCAGCCUUCGGGCAGUGAUUUUUGGGCGCGGCUGUGCCCGAAGCCUAUUUUUGGCACACGGAGGCCCCUCGCAAAGUCUCGCGCCAUUCCGAGUCCGGCGGACGAAGUUGGCCAGCCCCACCCCCCAAGGCUAUAGCCCACCCGUUUUUGUGGCCUUUUUCCGCUGGACGAACUUGGUGCCCCAGCCUUCGGCCGGUUAUUUUUGGGCGCAGCUUUGCCCGCGGCCUAUUUACUGCACACGGAGACCGCUCAUAAAGUCUCGUGGCAUUCCGAGUCCAGCGGACGAACUUGGCCAGCCCACCCCCCAAGGCUAUAGCCCACCCGUUGUUGUGGCCUUUUUCCGCUGGACGAACUUGGCUCCCCGGCCUUCGGGCGGUGAUUUUUGGGCGCGGCUGUGCCCGAAGCCUAUUUUUGGCACACGGAGGUGCCUCACGAAGUCUCGCGCCAUUCCGAGUCAUGCGGACGAAGUUGGCCAGCCCCACUCCCCAAGGCUAUAGCCCACCCGUUUUUGUGGCCUUUUUCCGCUGGACGAACUUGGCGCCCCGGCCUUCGGGCGGUUAUUUUUGGGCGCGGCUUUGCCCGCAGCCUAUUUUCUGCACACGGAGUCCCCUCGUAAAGUCUCACGGCAUUCCGAGUCCGGCCGACAAAGUUGGCCAGCCCCACCCCCCAAGGCUAUAACCCACCCAUUUUUGUGGCCUUUUUCCGCUGGACGAACGGGGCGCCCCGGCCUUCGGGCGGUUAUUUUUCGCCGCGGCUGUGCCCGCGGGCUAUUUUUGGCACACGGAGGCACCUCGCAAAGUCUUAUGCCAUUCCGAGUCCGGCGGACGAAGUCGGCCAGCCCCACCCCCCAAUGCUAUAGCCCGCCCGUUAUUGUGGCCUUUAUCCGCUGGACGAACUUGGCACCCCGGCCUUCGGGCGGUUAUUUUUGAGCGCGGCUGUGUCCGCGGCCUAUUUUGGGCACACGGAAGCCCCUCGCAAAGUCUCGCGCCAUUCCGAGUCCGGCGGACGAAGUUGGCCAGCCCCACCCCCCAAGGCUAUAGCCCACCCGUUUUUGUGGCCUUUUUCCGCUGGACGAAUUUGGCGCCCCAGCCUUCGGGGGGUUAUUUUUGGGCGCGGCUUUGCCCGCGGCCUAUUUACUGCACACGGAGACCGCUCAUAAAGUCUCGUGGCAUUCCGAGUCCGGCGGACGAAGUGGCCAGCCCCACCCCCAAAGGCUNNNNNNNNNNNNNNNNNNNNNNNNNNNNNNNNNNNNNNNNNNNNNNNNNNNNNNNNNNNNNNNNNNNNNNNNNNNNNNNNNNNNNNNNNNNNNNNNNNNNNNNNNNNNNNNNNNNNNNNNNNNNNNNNNNNNNNNNNNNNNNNCCGCAGGACGAACUUGGCGCCCCGGCCUUCGGGGGGUUAUUUUUGGGCGCGGCUUUGCCCGCGGCCUAUUUAUUGCACACGGAGACCGCUCAUAAAGUCUCGUGGCAUUCCGAGUCCGGUGGACGAAGUUGGCCAGCCCCACCCCCCAAGGCUAUAGCCCACCCGUUUUUGGGGCCUUUUUCCGCUGGACGAACUUGGCAUCCCGGCCUUCAGGCGGUUAUUUUUAGGCGCUGCUGUGCCCGCGGCCUAUUUUUGGCACACGGAGGGGCCUCGCAAAGUCUCGCACCAUUCCGAGUCCGGCGGACGAAUUUGGCCAGCCCCACCCCCAAGGCUAUAGCCCACCCGUUUUUGUGCCUUUUUCCGCAGGACGAACUUGGCGCCCCGGCCUUUGGGCGGUUAUUUUUGGGCACGGCUGUGCCCGCAGCCUAUUUUUGGUACACGGAGGGGCCUCGCAACAUCUCGCACCAUUCCGAGUCCGGCGGACGUAGUUGGCCAGCACAACCCCCCAAGGCUAUAGCCCACCCGUUUUUGUGGCCUUUUUCCGCUGGACGAACUUUGGCGCCCCGGCAUUCGGGCGGUUAUUUUUGGGCGCGGCUGUGCCCGUGGCCUAUUUUUGGCACACGGAGGNNNNNNNNNNNNNNNNNNNNNNNNNNNNNNNNNNNNNNNNNNNNNNNNNNNNNNNNNNNNNNNNNNNNNNNNNNNNNNNNNNNNNNNNNNNNNNNNNNNNAAGUCUCGCGCCAUAUCGUCUCGCGCGGAAGUAGUUGCCCAGCCCCACCCCCCAAUGCUAUAGCCCACCCGUUUUUGUGGCCUUUUUCCGCUGGACAAACUUGGCGCCCCGGCCUUCGGGCGGUUAUUUUUGGGCGCGGCUCUGCCUGCGGCCUAUUUUUGGCACACGGAGGCCUCUCGCAAAGUCUCCCGGCAUUCCGAGUCCGGUGGACGAAGUUGGCCAGCCCCACCCCCCUAGGCUAUAGCCCACCCGUUUUUGUGGCAUUUUUCCGCUGGACGAAUUUGGCGCCCCGGCCUUCGGGUGGUUAUUUUUGGACGCGGCUUUGCCCGCGGCCUAUUAUUAGCACACGGAGGCAACUCACAAAGUCUUGCGGCAUUCCGAGUCCGGCGGACGAAGUUGGCCAGCCCCCCCCAAGGCCAUAGCCCACCCAUUUUUGUGGCCUUUUUCCGCUGGACGAACUUGGCGCCCCGGCCUUCGGGCAGUUAUUUUUGGGCGCGGCUGUGCCAGCGGCCUAUUUUUGGCACACGGAGGUGCCUCGCAAACCCUCGCGCCAUUCCAAGUCCGGCGGACGAAGUUGGCCAGCCCCACCCCCCAAGGCUAUAGCCCACCCAUUUUUGUGGCGUUUUUCCGCUGGACGAACUUGGCGCCCCGGGCUUCGGGCAUUUAUUUUUGGGCGCGGCUGUGUCCGCGGCCUAUUUUCGGCACACGGAGGUGCCUCGCGAAGUCUCGCGCCAUUCCAAGACCAGAGGAUGAAGUUGGCCAGCCCCACUCCCCAAGGCUGUAGCCCACCCGUUUUUGUACCCUUUUUCCGCUGGACAAACUUGGCGCCCCAGCCUUCGGGCCGGGAUUUUUGGGCGCGGCUGUGCCCGAAGCCUAUUUUUGGCACAUGGAGGCACCUCACAAAGUCUCGCACCAUUCCGAGUCCGGCGGACGAAGUGGGCCAGCCCCACCCCCCAAGGCUAUAGCCCACCCGUUUUUAUGGCCUUUAUCCGCUGGACGAACUUGGCGCCCCGGCCUUCGGGCGGUUAUUUUUUGCCGCGGCUGUGCCCGCGGGCUAUUUUUGGCACACAGAGGCACCUCGCAAAGUCUUACGCCAUUCCGAGUCCGGCGGACGAAGUCGGCCAGCCCCACCCCCCAAUGCUAUAGCCCGCCCGUUUUUGUGGCCUUUUUCCGCUGCACGA
rnacentral:lncRNA from 1 species